rnacentral:rRNA from 1 species
UACGGAGGGGGCAAGCGUUGUUCGGAAUCAUUGGGCGUAAAGGGCGCGUAGGCGGCCGACCAAGUCGGGUGUGAAAUCCCUCGGCUCAACCGAGGAACUGCAUUCGAUACUGGCUGGCUAGAGUCCGGGAGGGGAUGGUGGAAUUCCCAGUGUAGCGGUGAAAUGCGUAGAUAUUGGGAAGAACACCGGUGGCGAAGGCGGCCAUCUGGACCGGUACUGACGCUGAGGCGCGAAAGCGUGGGGAGCAAACAGG